UACGUAGGGGGCAAGCGUUGUCCGGAAUUAUUGGGCGUAAAGAGCUCGUAGGCGGUUUGUCGCGUCGGAUGUGAAAGCCCGGGGCUUAACCCCGGGUCUGCAUUCGAUACUGCCGUGACUAGAGGUCGGUAGGGGAGUGUGGAAUUCCUGGUGGAGCGGUGAAAUGCGCAGAUAUCAGGAGGAACACCCGUAGCGAAGGCGGCACUCUGGGCCGAUACUGACACUGAGGAGCGAAAGCGUGGGGAGCGAACAGG
rnacentral:rRNA from 1 species